UUUAAUACUAGGUGCACUCUCUUGGAGGCCAGAGCUAGGUCAGACUUAGUAACUUUCUUAUUAGUCACUAUUUAAUUUGUGUUUAUGGUGAAAAGCUUGUUGAGAUGAUCCUUACAGGUUCUCUGAGCAGAAACUCAUUGUACUGAUAUUUUAAAGGUAUUUUCUUACAGAGAAGGAAAAGUAAGAGAAACCUAAUACAAGUUAAGGUAUUGAAUAAUUACACCUAAACCUUGCUGCUUUGCUUUAUUUAAUGGAAGAUACAGAAUCAGAGUAAGUUAUAACUGUUUAUGCAAAGCUGAAGAUGAAGCCAUCUUCACAGGUAAAUGGCCAAAGUUUGACUGAUUUCACUGGCACCAAGUAGCAUUGAAAAUCUUUGUGUCUUUUGAAUUAUGUUUUUGUGAAAAGUGUCAGCUGAGAAACUCAAAAAUAAGUUAAGAAAAUUGCUCCAGGGCACAGUUUGGCAGAAUGUUCCCAUUCAUGUGAUGUUGCAGUGUUCAAAUAGAUGCGUUGGUGUAUCACUCAGUCUUUCUUCCACUUACUUGAAGAUCCUUGUUUCAUCUUGUAAAUGAUGUUAAAAUCAAGUGCUUCUUGUUUUGGAGCUUUGUAUGAAGCAACCUCCAUAAGUUGUUAUAUAUAUAAUGUUAUCAAGGUCAUACAUGUUUGCCUUGGCAUUCCUGUUGUUCCUUGUGCUGUCUGAGCUGCCAGUCAUGGGAAGUGGUGACUGCAACUGUGCAUCUGCCUUGCUCUGCCUCCCUCUGCCCCCUUGCUCACAUUGCAUGGCCCUUCCUUUACACACAACUACAUUUUGUGAGGAACUCAUCUCAAGGAUGCACUUCCUAAUGCAGAUGAUGUUUGUGGAAGCACACAUGCCUUCAACUCAUGGCUGUUUGAAGCCAGAGUAUCAAUUGUACUCCUUGCAGAGCUACAGUCAUGACCAGUUAUGGAAAAAUGUUGAUUGUGUCAUGAAAGUGGAAGCACAUCAAUAACGCAUUAUUACUGUGAAGACAAUGGAGGUCUGGGACUAGUUUCAGGAAUUCCUGUAGCAUUUGUAGCAAAUGUGUAUUACCAGUCUCUAACAUUUACUGCAAAUGGAAUUAAUUAAUAUUAGUGCUAUUUUACUUGUAACUUUUCUGAACUUCUUUAAAGUUAUUAGCUUUAUUUUAUAAAUGGUACACAAUUUUAAUUGCUCUGUAUGCUUUAAAAAAGGAAAGGGAUUAAUAAUUGAAUUUACCAAAUAGUUGUAAAUAAAUUUGAAAAUAAGGAGAGAAAAAAAAGAUUGGACCUUUCCACAUUGUUUUUACGAAGGUGACUAUGGAUCUAGAAAUGUGUACUGAAGAAAUAGUCAUAGAAGUGACAUUAGCUGUACAUUUACUUCUGCACUACUUGGAAUUAGAGUACUUCAGAGUAUUCUAACAGCAUGUGUGCUUUGUGUGUGGCUACAAUCUCUGUUGAUGUAUUACACAUGUUAGAAAUUAAAAAGUGAUUUUAGCUACAAUAAGGUUGAAAUAAGAACUUGCAUCCUUUGAUUGCUACAAUAACAGAUUGAAAAGUAUUGUGUUACAGAAGUUAGCAUUUUAAUUUGUGGGCCUUUAGAUGUCUUUCCCUUCUUCUUAAAUGCUUCCUUUUAUAGAAGAGAUUUGGGAAUUGGAAGACAUGUUCAAAGUCUCUUAUUAUUACAUUUAGUUUUUUACUUGGUUGGUCUAGAUUCUGGAACAAUACUAAAGAGGGAUCUCUCCUCCAUGAGAGAAGGCAUCCCACACAUUUUAAGUGUGGUAGAUGAUGUUAUUACACAAUCAAUAAUGAUAUUCUUGCAUAAUUAGUAUUUAAAAAGACCCUCACUUCCAUAACAUCUGUUUUAGCUUCAUGGCAUAGUUUCUCUAUUCACCUAUAAAUCAGACCACCACACAAAGGAAUACCUAAGGCAGAGCUUCUGGUCUCUUCUUAAGUUCUGUGCUGCUAAUCUUCCUUUGUCUUUUAUAUUUACAGAAUGUCUCAUGGUCUUGAAAGUGUCCAUUUUUCUGUGCCUGGUCUUAAUGAGACUUAAUUUCCAGAGUCUGAAAGUUCAUUGCUUUCCAAAACUCUCUAAUUUAUAGCUGUCAAAUAUUGGUUUUGUCCAGAAUGAUCGACCUUUCGAAUAUUUAGGCUGUAACUACUAAUGAAAAAUGUAAUUUUUGUACAGAACCGUUAAUCUGGAUGCAGAGGUGCACAUUCUUACCAGGAAUAAAGUCAACAUAAAAUUAUGUGCCAAAUUCAGUUUUUGUAGGUCCCACAGCUUCAGUGGACUUUGGUUCCUUUACAAAUAAAUUUAUCCAUUGUAACCAACUCUGCUCUUUUAAGUGUCAGUUCAGUUCUUGUUAACUUCCAGAAGGCUUUAAAAAUCUGUUGGAUGUCUUAAAUUGAGUAUAACAAGAAGAGAUAAAGAAAAAUAAUAAUAAUAGACAAUUUUCCAAUCUAGUGUUGUCUAAUUCCUUUUAUUCUCAAAUUUAUGCUUGUGUGAUUAUGCUGAUUUAAAUUAGCCAUCUUUGAACUUGGCUUCUCAAUGUUUGUCUGACUAUUUUUAUCUUCAAUUUCUUUCAUAAAUAUUAAAUAUGGACUACUGAACAGUGGGGUAACAUGAGAGAAAGGAAGGUUCAAUAUUUUUCUUGCAUAAAUUUUACACAUGCAAGAAACCACUACAGUCAUGUAAGGAAAGGUUCUGUAAGUGAUUUACAGAAGGAUUAUUGAGGGAUCGUCCUUUUAUAUUUUAAUUAAGGUUUAAAAGCAUUCCCUUCUCCCUUUGGGCUGUUCUUGUUGCUGGACUUCUUGCUGGAGCGGCUGUGCACAGUGACAGCCUAGUUAGUUGCUAAGAGGCACAUUUUCAAAGUGACAUGUGGAACUGCAGUCUCUGGAGUCCCGCUUACACUCCAGUGGCCCAAACACAAUGCUUUGAAAAUCCAGCCCUAAGAAGAGGGAGGAGGAGCAACUCUUCAGAAGUAGCAUGCUUCAAGGGGAAGAACAUGAAUUUAGAUAUUGACAUGACUCUUAAGUUAACUUAAUUCUAGAUUUCAUUCUCCAGAAGGAUUUUACUCACUCUUCUAUGGGCAGUGAGGUGUUACACUGUUGUUAGGACCUUGUAAGGAUUUUUCUUUUUGUAGGUUCAUCUUUAGCUAGCUGAUAGUAAAAUCACAAGGUUCUCUUAAAUUGUAGCACACGUGCUGAUGUGAACAUUUUUAAAAGAGGAAAUGGAACCUCCAAAAAUCCAAAUGUCUCAUUUGUUGGGAUUGUCUCAUAAUGGGGCAUGUUGGAGACAUCAUGCUGUGAUAAAAAAGGGAAAUCAUGAAAGAGUAAUGAUAGUCAUCUGGAUGUGCCAGAGCAACCAAAAUUUUUUUGUUCUAGCUCUUUAGGAAACUUAAUAAAUUUUAAUAGUGAAGUACAUAGUUUAGUACAAUUUAUUUUGAGAAACCUCUGCUCUAUAUUUGUCUAACCUUCAUUUCAUUAAGAAAAGUGCAUGAUUCCACAGCUUAGAGGGUGGUUCUGUGGAAUGAGAAUGGAUAAAGGAGGUUUAUGUCAGAGUUGUUUGGGUUUUUUUGUAGAUACAUCUCUAUAAAACAUAAUUUUGUUUCUAGUAGGAAUUAAAGUGCCACAAAUAACUGUAAUCAUCUUAUGCAGUAUUAGGUAAAAACUAAUCUCCAUAGGUUUUUCUAAAAUUCGGAUAAACCCAAUCUGCAGUCGGUGACGUAUUUCCUGCGGACUUUGAAACCAUGCCUUGUGUUUUUUUCAUGCUUGCGUAACUUUGCCUGAAUUUUAAAAUGCCAUAUUUCUAAUUAAAAUAUGCAUCACUUUUUUUUUUUUAAUGGUAUUGUACCAUUUUUGCAGAACAGUGCAGAUGUUCUGAAACUGCUCAUCUUAAAAAUUGCUGUAGCAAACAUUACUGUUACAGAAUUUACUCAUCUGUGUCACAGCUGGUAUGUAGAGACUUAGAAUACUGUGGGCUGGUUUUUUUAGACUCUUUUCCUCAUCCAGCUCACUUUUAAAAAAGAUUGCUAUAACAAGGUUUAUUUAAAAGCAUGAUCGUGUCUUUUAAACCAAGUCAGAAAGGAAGCCAGAUGAUUUUUCUGCAAUCUCAUAUUACUCUUCUGUUAAAAGAUUGUAUAAAUGAAGGGGAAAUAUAACUCAAUAGUGUUACAUUAGUCUCCAAAAUUCCCGAGAUCUAGUUAAAUCUUGCAUUCUUACAUGUUACUGGAAGAUGCCUAGGACAGAUAAAAUAUAUAAAGAGGACAUUUCUGAGAUCCAAAGCAAGUUACCCUUUGGUUUAAUUAUUUUAGGACAUAUAUAUCUAUUAAAAAUAGCAUAUUCCUUGAGAAAUACAAGUAUUUAUUAUAGCUAGCAUGAAGCAAGCCAAGAGCUUGAUUUCCUAUGGAUUUGUCUUAGUUUGAUUUACCUCGGUGUCUACAAAGUUGUGAGCUGGGAAUGACAUUUCUCAUGCACUUAGGGCCAUGGUUAAAUUUCUGGAUAGUUUAGAUACGAAAAAACUGGAGAGGAACCUAUCAUAGAAGUAACGAUGGAAUGUUGGAACAUGUCACUGUCACAAAAAGAAAACUCUAAAAAUGAAAAAUUAGGAAGAUUUUGAUAGUCAUAGCCAGGCAUGUCAACUAAGAAUAAUGAUGAAAAAUGGCCUCCACAUUAUAUAGUCUUUAAUGCUGAGAGGAAUAAUGAUACUGUUGAUGACCAUAUAGGGGGAAGAAGAAAAUAUAGGAGAUUAGUGGUAAGGCAAGGAAUUUGUUUAGGCAUGUUGUGUUUAAGGAGAAAGUUUUUAAUAAAAUUUGAGGUAAGAGGGAAGGAGGUGGGUCAGGACUCAGGAAUAGAUGUAUGAAAAACAGGAUACAAGAUGAGAAAAGCAGACCUGCAUCAUAGACCUGGGCUGGAGACAGGGUCUGUACCAAAGUAGUGUGAAGACCAGUUAGAGAGGCCAGAAAAUGUAAAAAUGGAGUGCUGGUCAUACAUGGUAGUGCUGAGAUUUGCACAAAAGGCAUAAGGUAUUAAAUACUGAAGGUUGUUACUGUCUGCUCCUGUGGUCUGUCUUUAAGAAACACUGCUAUCAUAUUUUCAGGCUUUUCUUCACAACCACCAAGACCUCUUUUGUACUUUUUUCUUUGAUCAGACAUUUAACAUUCAUAGCACCACAGAAAAAAGGCAAUGUCCAAUUCCACAAGGUUCCUGAUAAAGCUGCUAGUAUUGAGGAAAUCCAAAUGGAGAACUUGUUUGACAGUCAUCUUUGAGGUGAGGCGAUGGUGACUGUCACUACUACCCAUCUUUCUUAGUCCCUAGGAGGAAACAUGUUUCAAUACUCAGUGCCGUGUCAGUGUUUUAGGGACCAGAAGGACAUUAAAUGAAUUGCUGUGCUGGGAAAUUUUUCAACAGGAAAGCACAACUGGGUGUUGCCUAUUCAUACUUGCCAAGCUUGCUCUCAGUAGAUGUUUUCAUCCCACUCGCGUAUUCUGUGUGCUCAACUACUUGCAGUGCUCCUGGAUGUAAGGUCACUUGUCUCCUAUGUCAUGUCUCUCUAGACUUACUCUCAGUGAGCUGGUUUCUGGUCAUGUCAGGCUGUUUCACCCACAGUAACAGCACUGGAUUCCUCAGGUGUUAGUCCAGUGUAGCCCAGGGACAUUAAGCAAUCCUCUUGCUGUGGGCCUGCAUCCACUGUUCAUGAAGUCAAAGAAUAAAACCCCUGUUGAUUUUGCUUGCUUGGAAUCUUGUGUUGGGGUGAUUCUCUGAGAUUUAUAUUCAGACCUUCCCUGACUGAGAAAUACAUUCUUCUAAAGCUGUAUCUAAAAAUAUUGAAUCCCUCCCUGACUAUUAAAAAUAUCGAGGAACAAAAGAAAUGUGCAAAACCUCUUCAGUGCUGUCACAUUUGAGAGAUGCUCAAAUGACAUCUCUGACAAUGGGGAAGCCUGUUAUUACUCUGCAGAGUCCUACUUUCCCAAACUGGCAUCUUUCUUUGUUGCAGCAUAAAUUACAGCAGAACUGAAAUUUAAAUUCAAGGGCAGCUUUUGUUUUGCCUGAAGACAGCUGCAGCUGCUUUUAUUCUUGAAGUCCAAUUCUCUUAGUAAGCAAAUUCUGUGCUUUCUCUCAAAAGAGCUAAAGGUAGUGCUUGAUCUUUGGGAUGGUUUGAAGCUGUGUGAUUUUUCUUUUUUUAUGAGCUGCGGGCUGGAUUACAGCCAGCUGGAGGAACUAACCCUUGCAAUUCUCCAGUGAAAGUCUGGUCACAAGGAGUGGACCACUUGUUAAAAAGAAAGGGAAAAAAAGGUGGAUCUGUUGUAAGUGGUUUCUAGUGGAUUUUGGCCCACUGCUGGUUUUGCUUCCAUGGCAAUGCAGUUUCUCCUGCGUUAUUAUAAUUUCUCUCAAUCUCUUAAAAUUCCUCCCAACCCAUGGUGCCUGUGGAUCCUUUAGAGGAAAUAAGGCUUCUUUGCUUCUAUCAGGUUGCAUUGACAGUGGGAAGAGGGUCCAAAUUUAGCUGGUGAGAGCUGACAGAUGGAUGCAUGUGGAGAAAUAAGAUGGACAGACAUGCGUUGUUAUAGAGGAAUUGGAGUGAAGAUAGCCAGAGAGGGAGUUUCACAGACCGACAGAAUGGGUCAGGCUGGAAUGGACCGCUGGUAUUCCAAGUGGAGAUGAGCUAGUCCAACCUCCUUGCCUAAUCAGGGUUCCCUAGAGCACUUCCCUUAGAGUUGUGUUCAGAUGGCUUUUGCAUUUCUCCAGGGGAGGAGACCCACAGCCUCUCUGGGCAGCCUGUGUGUUUCAUUGAAGUCUGAAAUGUUACCCAGUUUUUCUUAGUUGUGUCUGUGAUGGGGGAGAUGAAAUAUUUCUCGGAAUUGCUUUAGUCUUUGGGACUUACUGGAUGUUAAUAUGAUGUUCUUCCUGGUUAGAGAUGAGGAGCAAAGAGAGCCAGGGCAUGGUGCUUCCUGUUCUUGCUGGCCAGCCUGGUGAUGUGAAGCUGGCCAGCUUCUUAAUAUUAAAGCCGUUUCCCACCUUGAGGGAAGAUGUGUGCAAAGAUGAGGGAAUCUUGUGUAGGUACCCUAAAUCAGUUUUUACUUGAAAGAAUUUAAAUAAUAAAAGCUUGUGAAUUAUCAGGAAAGACCUCAACCCAAAACCAAAGCUCUGCUAUCUCUUGCAUUUAUGGGAGUGAAUGCUGAUGAACUGUGAUAAGUAGGAGAUCCCAGCCCAGGUCUGUGUCUGGAUUCUCAGCCUAUCUAAGUACAAGAAGAAACUGAUUACAGCACGGAUACAACCUGGGUAAUACAUAAUCACUUGUAAUCCUGAUGCAACCCUCUGCUUUUGCUGCCUUUUAACCCACGAAUGAUAACAUUUACGUCUCAGACAAGGAAUUUGGAACCUUUGGGGACUUUUGUGAUUAGAAAUGCAAAAGCUAUUAGAAAUAAAUCAUUUUUAAUAUGAGCUAUGUGAUAAAUGUUGAGGUUGUUGGUUUUCAAUAUCCAGCAAGUAAUAAAAGCUGGUUUUUGUUUCUGUAGGGUUUGGUUUUUUGGUGUUUUUCUUUUUUUUUUUUUUAAGUGCAUCUUGGCCAUGUGGAUUCUGUGUAUACUUAGAAUUAAUAAAAUGCAGUUGCAGCAGCUGUUACUGUGUGGCUGCUGUCCCAAUGUGAAGCUUUUCUUUCUCUUUGCAUUAAAUAGGGAUAGCCCUUUAUUGUUGGCUUGUGAUGAGAACUAGAGACUAAUUAUUAAGAGAUUCAUUUAGAUAAUUUGGUUUUAUUUUGAAUAAUGCAGUUUCCUUUUUCAGACUGACAGAAUAUAAAAGAACAAUGGGAUAGAUGAUUUGCUUUUGGUGUUAAAGAAAGAAAGACUGGAUUUAUAUCUUGCUAAUGUAGUUUCUACAUCUACUAAUAAAAUGGAAGAAAAUAAUCUGGAGCAAGCUGUUCCAUCUCUAAUCCCAGUGUUUAUUUUUGUCUUUGAAAUAGCAGAGCUGUUCUCCCUUGCUAAUGUUUUGGUCUGCAGAGUUAUUUAGGCCAGACUGUGAUGUGACUUUUGUUCAGUGACUUUAACUUUUUAAGAAAUUGCAUGACAAUUUUAAAAUCAAAGAAACAUUGCAACCUUGAAGAGUGUUACACCUUAUGUUUCUCAAAGCUGUUAUAAAUAAGCCAAGUUUAUUGCCUAGUGCCACAACUGUGGAUCUUUUGGAAUCUCAGUAGUCUUUUUACUUAACCCUGUGCUUCCAGUGUGUUGUGGGGGUCAGUGAAAAAUACUGAUGAGAGUGAUUUAAGUGCAGUUGGGAUUGAGCAUUGAACAGUAAGAUGCAUCAAAGUAAACUACUUAAUCUUUGAUACACAUACCUGUAUAUAUUUGGGAAUAUCUAUGUCUACAUACAGAGUACUUAUAUGAAUUCAUAUAUACAUAUUGUGGCAGGUAACCGUGGAUAUUGUAUUUAUCUCAAACUUCUGCUGUAGUUUGCUCAGGUCUUAUUCUGUGGUUAGGAAUUCUGUUGAGUAUUAAAGUGUGUCUUGACAAGAAAUGCUGCAGACUGUGUUGCUCAUUCCUGUCGUAUUUGAUUCUGUUGUGAGGUCUGUUUUCUGUGUUUGUGUUCUGUCACCCUCAUCUGCCUCUGAGAUAAUUAGGUGCUCUUUGCAAAGAAGACUGAGUUUAUGUCUUUAAUUUGUUCUUUCCUGUCUUUACUUUGUAAUCAUAGUUGUGUGGCUUUGAAUAUCUGCUGAUACAGGUGAUUAAGGCACCACUGCAUAAAACCCCAGGCUUUAGAAAUAGAAAAUCAUUUUUAUAAUAAUUGUCAUUACAUGUUGUUAUGUUAUUUUGUGUUAGGCAGAAUGUUUGGAAAUAGCACAUCCUAUGUGAGAACAAGAAAAUUAGGUAAGUGAUGAGAAGGCAGUGUUAUAACGAGCCAGUUUUGGUGAACUGAGUUCAAUUCCUGUGCAUACACACAGUGUGAUAAUUCUUACUUAUUUGACCUCAAACUUGUUUUCUUCAAAAAUCCUUCUUCAUUCAGUGUACAGAAGGGGCAGGACUCAGGUCAUGAGCAAGUAUUUAAUUCAUUGCUUUCCUAUCAUUCUUUACUCUGUGAGAGGUGCUACAGAGGUGCUACAGAAGCCCUGAGAAAUAAAAUAAAAUAUCUUCCUCUUUUCGAGGCCUGAUUGGAGACACUUCUGACCUGAUACAUCACCACAUGCACCACUUCUUAUGUCUGACCACAGCUCCAGCUGCAACAGGGAGUGUCACCAUUCCAGCAAGACUGUCUCAGUGUCUCAUUUUGGGUACUUAAAACAUGAGGAUCAUCUGAUGUGUGAUCAUGUUUGAAAACUACUGUGUAUGUGACUUUCUGACCUCAGUGAGACUAUCAGUAGGAGUCAGGGGUAGGAUUUAAUUCCCAGGGUGGCAUUUAAUGCUCUUAAGCUAAAGAACCCUCAAGAAAUCUUCUUAUUGCUCUCAGCCUUUCAGCUCCUCUGAUAAAUGAUGCAAAGUUUGCUCAGGCAGCUUUCCCAGAGCAGGCCCACUCUGUAUACUAAAUCAAGUGUCAGAGCAGAGGGACAAGUGAUAUGUGACCAUACGCCUAAAGUGUGACACUUUCUAACUUUGGAAGUACCUUGGCAACCUUAUCAGGAGAUUUUGGAGUUAAUUUUUCAUAGGAAUUUCCUAGACUUUAAGGAUAGUAAAGACAGCUUCUCUUCACAGUUUCCAUUGUGUGAUGGUAUUAAUAACACCCAUGUUUUAAAGUAAGGUCAAAACUGUUUGACACUUCCACAUGAGACUUCAUUGCCUGAUCUUUUAGAGAUGCUGAUGCUACUUGAAAGUGCUGCUUCCUUUCUCUUAGAUCUGAUUUUUAUCCCAAUAGUUAGAUGGUUUAGAUGAACUAGAUGAUUUCUACUACAAAACAAAUGGAGUAUCUUUCUAAACAGAUAGUAAUUAGAUAGCAGGAGAAAUCCACCAUAAUUGCACUGAGACAGAGGGGUAGAUACAGGACUGAAAUAUUUAAUGGCUAUUUUCUCCCAAAUGUUGCAUUUUCUUGAAUUGUUUUUUAUCUUCAGUGUUGAACUGAACUGUAACUUCAUUCUUUUUCUUCCUUAACCUCUCAAGCCAAAAGGCUGUUCUGUUUUUAUUCUCGUUAUCAUUUCAUACCCAGCCUGCCUUUUGAGGAUUUAAAAGUAAGUUUUGUUGUGGUAGACUGCCUUUCUCACAUUUGUUUAGUUGUUUUUAACAUGUAGCAAUUAAUUUAUGUUUUAAGUUUUGUAAAUGCAAGGUGGAAGACUAUGAACACAGUUUGAGAAAAGUAUCUUUGUACUCUUUUAAAAGUUGAAGUAGCCUAAACCUUCCUCUAAGUAAAGUUUAGAGUGACAUCUUGUGGUUACACUGAUUUCAGAAGCAUAUUGUUGGCAUUUUUUUAUUUUGUCCACAGUAAGUGUGGUGUUUUCUGUUUCAAAAUGUUCUGGAUUGCUCACCACAAAUCUAUAUUGAUUUCCAUUGAGGCUUUUGGGAGAUCAGAGAAAACAUUGCUAUGUGUCAGGGCCUUGUAAGUAUCGUUCAUCUUUUACUGCAUAAAAUUUAUCCCGUGUGCCUGUGAGUUUCCAGUGUUUUGAACUCCAAGAUGUUUUAAUGCUCUUCCAGCCAUUUGGAAUUUCUCAAGAAGUUUCAAUUAGCCAAAAUAAUGCCAAAGCAAGUGGGAGCACAACAUCUCUCAGCAACAUCUGUUUGUGCCAGUUCAUUAGCUGUCCAAAGGUUUACUUAGGUUUAGGUGAAGAUAAAUAUGUCCAGGAAGCUGGCAUGGAGGCCAAGCUCAUUUCAGAUCCAUACUGCAGUAGUGUGUAUGUGUGCUUCCUAUGGAUCAGCCUCCAAGGUGUUGGGUGGUCUAAAUGCACCACCACCAAACCAUAUCCAAAUGCCUAGAAUGUGCUCAUACUGCAGUUUUGUGUGGUUUAUCUUAAUGAAAUACAAACCUUUUCAAUGCCAGGUGGAGAUAUAGAGUAAUUCUGUGCCAGAAGCUUAAAGGACCUGGUGAAAUGUGAGAUAUGCUUUCACUUUUGGGAAGCUCUCUGCAGAGAUGCAGGAAUAGUGCCCCUGCAGAAGCUUUUGGUUGGGGCCAGCAAUGUAUUGCCUGGUUCAGUCUCUCAAAUUAACCAUGCAAAGGUCUCUUCCCGUCCCUCAACAUUGAAGAGGAGAAAGAUGGUGAUAAUCUGCUAGGUCAAAUUUUAACUAUAUAAAAUGUUGAUGUUACCGUGGAGCCCAUCUGGCAAAUUGAAUACCAAUUGUAAAAUUAACUGUUCAAUAAAAGGCACUUGACCUAUCUAAGAAAUAAAUUCUGUUUAGGAGAAUGAAUUCAUUAAUGCAUCUCAAAUGAAAAGUCUCUCUAGCACUGCUCCAUGGCACAUCACUCAUAACAGGUGGCCCCAGGUCUGCUGUCAAGUCUUUUGAUGUGAGAGGCUGGAUUUAGGAAAGGAUUCUGUGUUUGUGGAACUCAGGUUUUUGUUGGAGCUACUUUGGUCAUGUGAGGAUUCCAGCACUGAUUGAUGUGAUGUGCUGAGAAUGUCAAGGAUUUUUAGUUAUGUGGUAAAGCACACAAGGAGCAUAAAAUCCAAGAAGCCCAGAUCAGUGAUCCUAAAAGAGCCAUCUGGUGUCCUCAUUUAUUAAUUUGAUGAAAAACAAAGAUGUGACGUUUUCAAUUAAGAUGAAUGUUUGGCUGCCCUGCCAGAAUUGGUUUUGGUGGAUAAGUACAUACAAGUUAAGCUGUUAAUAUAAUCCUAAUACUGAGACUGGAAGUGCUGAUGUAGAUUGGGUGUAAAACAGAGCAAGUCAUUUGGAGGGCCUCUGAGUGGGCUAGCCUGUAAAAAUUAUGCUUGAAGUACACAAAGUGUGUUUAAAUGACAUAUUUACAGGGAUAAUUCCAGAGAUUUCCUUGGCAAAGUGCCUGCACCCAUUCCAACAGAGACUAUUUAAAUAGAAAAGAAAUUUGUAGAUGGUUAGGUAUCAAACAAAUGCUGAUUUUUUUAAAAUGCCUUCUCCUUUAGUCACAGAAAGGAAUGACUGGUGAUGAUGUUUCAUGGGAAAAGAAAGCUGUCUGCUCUUUCUGUUUCAUUUCUGUUGCACAGACAGCCAUACCCUUGUUGCCCUUUUUGAAUGGCUGCUUGUUGGAUUUUGUCCUGUUAUGAAUCGUAAUUUUCUCUAAUUUUUGUCUGCCCAAGAAAGAAUUUGGCUCUCCAUGCUGAGACAGAUGGAUAUUGAGUAGGUUUUGCAAUGGGAGACUGUAAAGAGGUUUCCUCAUAAUUCAGGACAUGAGGCUGAGAUGACACUGUGCAAAUCACAGGAAUUUUUUUCCAAAUUGUGACUUCCAUGUGGUGGAUUCCUUGCACUGGCAGCAGAUAAUCCAUUGAAGCCACCAAAAAAAUCAGGCAGAAACCCUGUGCCAGCUGAUGACCCAUGCUGCUGAGUGUGGUACCCUCUCCUGGGUGGGGUGUGUUGGAAAGGAGGGCUCAUCAGUUAGACAGUCUUUGGGUGGGGGAAUAGCUGUUUGAGGGCUUAAUCAUUGAAUCCUCUGAAAUCUAAACAGCUACUCAGCCUCUCUCAGCAGCAUAAAGCCAAAAUAUUACUGAGCUGUGAUCACUUAAGUCACCUCUUUCAUUUUUAUCGGAAUUAAAAGAAGAUUCUAGCAAUUCUGGCCCUGAUUAUGUGCCAGAGUUCCCCUCGCUACAGUUCAGAGCUGACAUGCUGCCUGCAAAGUUCUCCAGUAUUAUUAAAAGCUACAGCAAAUUUAAAGUGGAAGUGACUGAAGAACAAAAUUACCUGCAGAGUUUGGGGGCUGUUACUUUAACUAAUUGCUAUCUACCUGUGUAAAUCCCUCUGGGCCACCUUUUGGAUUAAGUAUUCCUUACUUCUUCUCUAAACCUCUUGUUUAAUAUUCAUGUGUGUUGUUCAACAUCUGCUGCAUCCUAUCCAAGCAUAAAAAGGGAAGGCAUUUCAGUAGCAAACCAAGUGAUAGUUAAAUAUAUCCCUUACUUAUUUCAGAGUAGCAGUAUGGGAGUUAAUUAAUAUUUAUCAAUGCACUAAAGUGCUGGAAUGAGAAGCACUAUGGUUGUGCAAAGCAUAGCUUGUUUAUUUCAAGCUCUUCCUGGCCAUUUUGACCAUUUGCUAAAUACAUUUGAGAGCAAGCACACAAAGCUUGCUGAAAUGCUGACUUGAUUUCUUUUCUUUAAAUGGGAGCAGAAUCAGGACACACUUUGCAACAGUACAAUAAUUGCAGAAAUGUAGGUGCUCUACUUAACCUGAGAAAAAAGCUCUUCCCUUAAUUAGCUGCCUGGCAUUUUGCAAUAGAUGGUACUAUAAAAAGGUUGUAAUAACACAAUGCAAUAUAGAAAGACCUUGUUAGAUUUUAUUACAUUUUCUACUUGAUAAUUUAUUGCGAUUAGAAAGCCUAAUUCUUUUGCUUAUCUUGUAAUUAUAGCAAGGUGUUUAUAAGCAGGAGUUCCAGCUGCUUUUCUGUAUAGUCUUAUUAGAUGUGAAAUUAGAAAGCUUUUUAGACUGUUAAUUUUUGCUCAUUUCACAGGGUGCAUAAAGCAUUCUGAAAUGCAUGUGUUAUGUGAGGUCAGCAUUAUAUUUUGGUAAUUGCUGCAUGAGUUUCCAGCAAGGAUAAUGAAUCUCAUAGAUUUAGAUGGCCUUCAGAGGAAGGACUCUUUAUUUUGAAAACCACUUUUUAAAAAUCCUCCUCUGGAAUAGGGAGGUAAAUAAUUUUCCCCAUUCCAUCAAAAAGCAGUUUUAGGUGUCUGUGUGUACAGUGCUCCCUGUCCCUUGCAUCUGGCUACGGUUCAGUGUCUCCAUUUGACACCUAGGACUGUCUGCUGACAAUGUUCAUGUCUGAGUAACACAAAAGCCUCCUGAGGGGUCCCAUCCUUGUGUGUGGUGCCCAGCUGACCAUGGCUCUUCUGGGACUUUUUUAUGGAUUGCAAAACUCAGCUGAUCUCAACAAAAGCUUUAGUGACUGACCCAAGACCUCACCAGACACUUGUGACUGAACACAGAGCUUAACUAAGGAAUCCAAAGCUUACAUCAUAUCAUGAGAUCAUCCUGAUUUAGGCUGUCAGGCUCAACUUAUAAUGGAAAGCAUUGUCUGAUUUCAUUGUCUUGGAGAGAAUUGAGGCCAGUAAAGGGCCUAUUCUUAUUCAGUUUUGUUAUCUGCUGUGGAAGAUGAGAUAGGAUAUCUACCUAGAGCAAAAGUGGGCCACAAAAUGGCAGGCAGUAAUUAGAAAUCAGGACAUUUGCAAAUAGGAACAGAUAUUGAGCUAUUACUGGUGUUAAAGCUAUUAAUACUUUUGUGUCUCUGUAUGUUGCAAUAAAUUAUUAGUUUUAAAAAUCUGUUAAUUAUUGGAAAUUAUUUGUCUAACAGUUUUGACAAAUGCAUGUCUGUUGGAGGGUGGAACUGCCAUCUGUGAGACUUUUCACUUGCAGUCUUGCUUUGGGAGGUACUUCCUCAUAAAAUGAAAUGUGAGUGAUUAUGCUGGAACAUACCAGCUUAAUGAACUCUAAUGCAAUAAGGAUCAAUAUUUUCAUGAGAAUUCAAAAUCAAACCCAGAUAUUUUAUUCAUGUUCUACUAUACUUGCCAUUAUUCUGACCCUUUGUGAGUGAGAGUCCUCUGAUUUUAUUUGUUCCCAGUCCUUACUGCCUCUCUGGAGAGGAAUUUUAUAUAAGGGCAUGGAGUAAUAGGACAAGGAGAAAUGGCUUUUACUGAAAGAGGGCGUGUCGAACCACAGAGUACACUGAGUUGGAAUGGACCCAUCAGGGUCAUCGAGUCCAGCUCCUGACCCUGCACAGAACCAUCCCCGAGAGUUACAGCAUGUGCUUGACAGCAUUGUCCAAACGCUUCUUGAACUCUGUCAGGUUGAAGCUGUGAAUGCUUCCCUGGGGUGCCUGUUCCAGUGCCCAACCACCCUCUGGGUGAAGAGGUGUUUCCUAAUAUCCAACCUAAACCUCCCCUGACACAAGAGUAGGCCAGUCCUUCUGGUUCUGUCACUGGUCACCAGAGAAGAGAUCAGUGCCUGCCCCUCCUCUUCCCCUCACGAGGGUCACAGGCUGCAAUGAGGUCUCCCCUCAGUCUCCUCCAGCCUGAACAGACCAAGUGUCCCCAGCCGCUCCUCAUAAGGCUUCCUCUCAAGGCCCUUCAACAUCUUUGUUGCCCUCCUUUGGAUGCUUUCUAAUAGUUUAAUAUCUUCCUUAUAUUGUGGUGACCAAAAUGGCACAUAUUAUUCAAGGUUAGAUUAUAUAUAAGGAACAAGGUCUUUACUGUGAGGGUGGCGAAGCACUGAAAAAGGUUGCCCAGAGAAGUUUUGGAUGUCCCAUCCCUGGGAGUAUGCAUGGUUAGGCUGAAUGGGGCUUUCAGCACCUUGGUCUAAUGAAAGAUAGUUUUGCCCAUAGCAGUAGGUUUGGAUUAGAUGACCCUUAAAGUCCCUUCCAACCCAAACCAAUCUGUGAGCUGAGCUAGGAGCAGAGAAAAGCUUAGAUAAGUGUAACCAACACUUGUGCAUUAUUCACAGGCCCAAAGAAACUGAGAGUGAGAUUCAAUCCACAUAAUUUGUACCACAGAUGGGUUGGCUUUUAGAAUAUACCCCUAAAUAUAAGAGUAUAUCUCUUUAGGCAAUAGAAAGAGAUGGUGCCAUUGAAAGCAGGAGAUCCUGUUUGAGCUGAGAUGGCCUGGUUAGAUUGGCUGAAUUCUAAGAAUUCAGCCAAAUCAGAACAACAAAAAGAGCAAACAUGCAAGAAUAAUGAAAACAAUUGCUGCUUUAAAACAUGCUCUAAAAUUCUGUUUCUGGAUUGAGCUGGAUUUGUUUCUGAAAAAUCUUUGUUUUUCAGAACAGUCCUGCAGGAGAAGGAACCUUCUUAGUUUGGACAUUAUAUCUAGUUGUGCAAUGGAUUUUUUGGUACCAGUUUCAGUGUCAUUUACCUAAGGAGUCUGAGCUGGAGACAUACGAAGCACCAAGCCAAGAAAAUCUUUCCUGUGUGUGGUGCAAAUGUUGUGUGUCAGAGGGAAGGACAAGAUUGCUCAAAAGCUUUGUUAGUGAUUCCUGGUGAUUGAGUGAGGUGUAUGGGUGACAGCAUAAGAAUCCCAGUCGACACUCCACACAAAUUAAAAUAUAUACAUCUUUCAUUAACUGCUUGUCUAGGACUAUAACAGUUGCUAGAGUAACCUAAAGGCAGGACUGUAAAUAUUGGAUAAGUACAUCCAGUGCUUUAAUGAGAUGAAGUAACUGCCAGGGCUCUUGGGAAGGUAAGGGACAAGCACUCUUCAUUCAGCUUUGCAAAGUGUAUUGUUUAUCAUGUAGGGCUUUGUGGCUUGGGAAUUACUACCAAGGCCCAGUUUCCCAUUGGAGUGCCUUUGUGUUAUCUCUCGUGUCAUUCAUGACCUUUGCUGUCAAGAUAAUUUCUUCCUUUUAAGAUUUUGGUCGAAGGACAAAAUCAAACAAGUUAGUAAAUUUAUACAAGAGAUUGUGAAUUAGCUAUCUUCGUUACAUUUUCAGCUUCAGCCUCUGCAGUUAAGAUGAAAGGGUGGUAUUUGUGCCUUUUUAGGGGAUUGCCUCUUUUUGGAUGAAUUUCUCCUCAGCCUAGGAUGUCAACUGUCUCUUGACGUCCCGGAGUGCUGAGGGCUUUCCUUCAGCAUUUGCUUACAGAGCUUGGUAUAGCUUUAGGAUAUAAGGUGAAGGUUCCUGUAAUAAGGCUGUGCUCUCUUUGUAUCCUGUUUUUUUGCAAGUUGUCUUUACUUUCACUAAAGAAAGGCCUAAGAAGUGAACUGUUAUGGCAUUUUGGCAAACACCAGAUUCGUGUUUGUGCCCGUAGCGUUGGGUAUUGGUUGUCAUUUGGUGAGGAGAUGGAUCUCUGGAGAAAUUGAACUGGGUUGUGAGGUACAGUACAGUAAUAAUGCUGUAACAAUGUAAUGCCAGAUGCAUUUUGCAUUUAAAUGAGGAGUUGGCACUAAAUUGAGACAAUCCUAAGGUACUGGAGGAUGUCUGGGUAAAGAAAAGGGCCAGUGCCUUGAACUCUUGCUAAGCAAUGUGGGUGAUAAAUAAAGGAUUAGAGAGGAAGACAAAGGAUAGCUAGGGCAUGUAUACACAGUUCUCAAUGGGAUUAAUGCAUAAAUCCUGACUGGAUUACAAAUUUGAAUAGACAAGUACCUUUUGAUAUGAAUUGUGUUAUAUGGUAAUACUAGGUUUGCGAAAUAACCUGUGCUGGCAAAGUGCUCUCAUCCAGCACCACUUUCAAGGAUAAAUACAAGAACUGCAGGAUUUCUCAGUGCAGAUUCAUGUUCUGCAAGAUUUGUACUCAAAAAAAUCAGAUGUGAAAGUGUCCGGAAGAACCUUCCUUGAAACAGGACUUGUUUUAUUGUGUAAGGGGAAAUACACGCUAAACUCUGCCAAAGGUUUGGAGAUAUGGAUGUUUCUGAAUAGAAAUCUCUUCACAGAACUCAAAAGCAUUUUUGUAGGAUUGUGAUUCAUUCAAAUUGUCAACUGCCUUCAGUGUCUUUGGUGCCAGUCCUCAUCAUGUGUUUGAAAAAACAGUAAAUGAUAAAAAGGAAAAUAUUACAGUUUGACAUAGUUACUCUGCCAGACAUCAUCUUUUUGCUGCAAGAGAGCUUCAGAGAAUAUUACAAUUCCUCUUCAUUGCUUUCCUUGGAAGUCACUGGACAUGAGAGGUAUGGUAGUUGCAUAUCUCAAACUCACUGCCCAUCAUUUAUUGCUAUAUAAUAAAACUGUGCCACAAACUGCAAUGCUUUUUCCUAAACCAAAAGAUAUUUGACAAGUGUUUGGCAAAGAAGAAAGUUUUGAGGAGUCCUUCACUAAACAAUAAAUUUACAAUAAUUUCCACCUAACACUUUUUUUUUUGCUUGGAAGUACAAUUUCCAUAGUGCAGUGAAAAGACCUAAAGAAUUUGCUGUAUACGGGUUAUAUCUUUAGGGCUCUCAAUGGCAACAAGAGUGAAUUCCAAACCUCUUGGGUGUGACUGCACAGCUGAGGGUGACUCUUUCUGAACUGGGUAAUGCUCUCAUGAAGCAGCAUCCAGUAAAGUGUGCAGAUCUCAUGUGGAAGCAAUAUACAGAAGUGCUGGGACUGAACAGAUGGCUCACAAAUGCAGAAGAAGCUGCAGUCAGCAAAUUCUUAGUAGUUUGCUUCAAGUCUGGUUACAUGACAAAGUUACUGCAAGGCAGGCAGGAGUAUGGAUUUCCAGCAAGUUUAUGAACUUCCAUGUGCACACUCACUGUCCAACAAACCACUCUCAAAGAAUGUACUGACUGCUGAAAUCUAGUUGAACAUGUCUUUAUUAGUGAACUAACCUGGGAACACACAUGAGAAACUCAAUCAUCUACAUGUAAAAUAGCUUGAAUGGUUUCUGACAAGGUUUUGGCCCAUGUGACCAGCAUUCUUUCCAACCAUUCACAGCCCAGGGGUCAUCCCUAUAAAUCAGUGUACAUGGCUACUCUGUUCUGGAGGCUAAGAAAAUUUUAAAGUAUGAAUCCAAGCUCAGCUUUAGAAGGUGAUUCCAAGUGUGUGUAGUUGACAUGGCGGAGCUUGUGCACUGUGGGUAUUGGGUAAUGUCUCACAAGCACUGUCACAAUAGGUCUUCAGACUCUUCAGAUGCUGCAGGUUGUCCCCCUUUGAUCUUAUGGAAGUGUAUCAUCUUUUGUCUAGCCUAAAUAAUAUGCCUGAUAGUAGUCACUCAACACCUUGUUCUUGUGGCUAAAUUUGACUUUACCACAUCCAGGCAGACCCAGUGGCUUCUAUAGCCUCUAUGGACAAAUAUGUUGUCUGUGAAGAACCCUGGUUAGCUGCUAGUUAAUGUAUAAAAAAUAAGGCUCAUAGGGUUCAUGAAAAUGGAAACCUUUGCUAAGUUUUUAAUCAUCUUUCUAAAGGAAUGAUGGUUCACAGUCUAGAGUGAAGCCUUGACAUAGCCCAGAAAGCCAACUGAAUCCUGGGGUGCAUCAAAAGCAGCAUGACCAACAGGGCAAGAGAGGUGUUUCUCCUGCUCUAUUCUGCUUUGGUGAGACCCCACCUGGAGUGCUGCAUCCCUCUCUGGGAUCCUCAGCACAGGAAAAACAUGAACCUGUUACAGUAGGUCCAGAGGAGAGUCAUGAAAAUGAUCACAAGACUGGAACACCUCUCCAGUUAAGGAAGACUGAGGGAGUUAGAGCUGUUUGACCUGGAGAAGAGAAGGCUCCAGGAAGACCUUAUUGUGACUUGGUAAUAUUUGAAGGGGCUUAUAAGAAGGAUGGGGAGAGAUUUUUUAGUAAGACCCGUGGCAAUAGUUCAAGGAGGAAUGGUUUUAAGGUAAAAGGGCGUAGAUUUAGAUAGAUUAAAGUUAAGUUAUUUUUUAUAAUGAGGGUGGUGAGGCACUGGCACAGAUUGCCCAGAAAGAUGGUAGCUUUCCCAUCCCUGAAAACAUUCAAGGUCAAGUUGAAUGGGACUCUGAGCAAACUGAUCUAGUGGAAGAUGUCCCUUAUCGUUGUGGGGAGGUUGGCCUAGAUGGCCUCUCAAAAUCCAUUCUAACCCAAAAGAUUCUGUGAUAUAUUGGCCAUGUUCACCAUGAGGAAAGCUCUUUGGAUUGCUCUGGUUUAAUCUUCUGAGCUUGUGCAAACCCCUCCAUCCCUGUCAAUCCAGUGGAUGAAUAUUUUUAACAGCCGCUGCUCUUUUCUGAUCAAAGGAUGUAGGGCCUGGCAGCAGCAGCAGCGUAUCAUUACCCAUGGAACCUCCUCUUGACUAAAGCUUCUUCUACAUCACCACUUCAAUAUCAUAGAAAUCUUCAUUUGGCCUAACAAUCAAAUCUCUCCUGACUGCAUUAUCUCCACUUCAUUGAUCCAGGAAACAUCAAUUAUUUCUAUUAAACACAAACAGUUUCAAUAGGGAUUUUCUACAUACUCUGCCAAACUUCAGCAUUUUACAUAUAAUCUGUGUUCUAUAAUAUUUUGAUGAUCUUUCCUCUGCUUAUUUGCUCUGUUGAGACCAAGCAUGAAAAAAUGAAAACUGCCUUUUUCACAGCAUCUGCACCACUAGAAAACUCAAAUUAUUUUAAGGAAGUAAAAUUUUCCCAUCCCAAACAUCAGUAAAAGUCCACUUUGUCACAGUAAUAUCCGAAUGAUGAAUGUUCAAGGGCAAAGCUUUGAUUAAUGACAGCUGCAGUUCGGAUUUCACUAAUGGUGAUUUUGUAUCUCCUUCCAGACAGCUGCACACUUACUGCAAGUACCUAACUAGACGUAUUUAUUAUGCUAGUUUGGUUAAAUAGUUGUAUAAAUGAAGCAUAUGGAUACUUGUAUAAUUUGCAUCUGCAGCGUGUGACUAUAAUGUGAAGUAGGCUUCUAGGAGAAGAGUAUCCAUCCUCCUCUUGAGAUAGUCCUAUUUUGUUAAAUUAAGGAGGUCUCUGAUUAGGUUCCAUAGAAAGGAAAUACCAGUCUGUUAAAGGUCCUAGGAGGUGAAGGGAUGCAGUUGUUUUCUAUUCAAAAGCACAUUAAUACACUGAAAGUUGUCCAGUAAUUUCAGCUGCCCUUCCAAUAUGUUGAGUUUAGUAAAAAAUUAGCAAAUUUUGGGUGAGCGUAGCGAACUGUAAAGCAAGUAUACUGCCUUCUAUUGAGUGUUCUCUUUUUUGUAAAUGUGAAAGACUAGUCAGCUGUUGUGCUGAUGGAAUUAUUGUGCAGGAUUGCAACUGUAAAUAGAAUAUUGUGACAACUCGGUGGGAGUAAAGCUGAGGUGAGACUGCUAAAAUGACUGGUUUCACCUGUAAGUUGUUACUGUAAUGUAAUUAAAAUGGUGGUUGUGCAGUGAUUGUUGGGAGCUUAUAUUUUGCAUGCAAGCAAAGCUGUAGAGAAACCAUCAAUCUGAUCCAUAACACAAAUUCUGGCUAUUUUAUUGUACAGAUGUUAUUUCAGCUUUAAGUUUUGUUGCAUGAAAUAAAGUGUGUCUUCCUCCACUUUAUGCCCAGGCAUCUCCUGCAAAAUAGAAACUCCCAUCUCCAUUUCUAUUACUCUUCUCUACCAAUUUCUUUAAAUAUUAGGUUUUUGAAGCUAUCAGUUUGUAAACUAUUUGUUAUUUUAUGCACAAGAUGGAAAGAAAUAUAAUAAGGUUGAUUAUACACAUUGCCAGAUACUAAACAGGUCCUUGAUGUGCUACAUUCCCUGACCUUGUCUCUGCCUGAGCAAGGAUUCCAGCCUUUCUUGGCUUGUCCAUGCUUGCCUCCUCCUUGCCCUUGGUGUUUUCCCCCAUCAUGUACUGUUACCUGCAGCAUAAAUCCAGAUUUACCUUGAGGAAACAGAGCAAGAGUCUCACCACGCAGAAGGAACCUCCCACCAGUUGUUUUGUGUAGUCAGCAGUGUUGCAAUGCAGAGAGAGAUGCACAGACCAAUUUAUGGCUUCAGAAUUAAUUUCUCUUGUGAGUUGUUACUAGCUGGUAAGGUGCAAAAAGCACAUACUCAAACACUCAUUUUUUUUUUGUUUAGGGACUGCAGUCAUGGGGAUAGUAAAAUCCUACAAAGGUGGUGCUAGAGUUUUACACAUCACUGCAGCAAACAAGAAGAUUUUGAGCUAGAGAAAGCACCCUGCUCCCACAUCCUCAGCAGAUUCCAACAAAUUAGUGUUAAUUCUCUCUUUUUCCCUCAUGUGCAUUCUCUUCACAAGCUAAUAAACCAUAGUGGGUGAUAGUGUCUAAAAUGAAAGGAUGUUAAGAAAUAUUUUACUUCCUAUUGUUUAUUAUUCUUUGUGUACCAUACACUGUGCUCCUUAGGACAAGUAAUUAAUGCAGGUGAUGUGGCUUUUGGGGGGAUUACUCUUGAUGGGAUGAUUUGUACCAUACAAAUUUAUUUUUUUUCUUGCUUGACAAGGGCUGGGAACAGCGAGUGAGAGUUGUCACCAGGUGGCACCAUUAACCUAAGUUAUGUUUUGGUGCAGUGAAUGCAAUGAAGUUUGUGUUCAAAAGGAAUUUAGUAGAGAGAUUGCUCUUUUCACCUUCCUUCAAAGUAAACACACAGUACAGAGAAUAGGCCAAAUACUUCUGUUCACUGGCACAUUUUAGAUUAUUUUAUGCAUUUGCAGUACUAUAAUGUGGUGAGGAUUCUUCCCUGCUUUGUGUAUGGUAAGUAAAAUGCAUGCCUAUAUUUCUCCAGAGAACCCUUGCCUGUUUAAGAAUUUUACAGUAUAUUUCACAUCUGGCACAUCCAAAAGUAAAAUUUCCCCUAGUGAAAUCCCAGAACAAGACCAGGGAAUUCUCAAAUAAAAAUACUCAUGUUUAAAUAUUGUUUGAAUGUUUUAAGACUGUUAUUCUGUGAAGUUAAGCAAUAGAAAAUCAAUUUGUCUUACUUACAGUGAGUAGCACCAUGGGCAGUGCAGGGGAGAUGAUGAGCCCCAUCCCCAGCUGCUGUUCAGAAGUGGUAUUGGUGGUGCAGACCCCCUCUGCAUCAGAAUUGCUGCAGCCUCCAUCGCUUGCACUGCUUCUUGGCACUCACAGGGUGGUGUAGCUGUCCUCUGAAGCAAGGAAGAAAACUUUUCCCCUUGCAGACAUUUAAAUAGCUUGAGUUGAAAAGUUAGAGUUUGUUUUGAAAGGGUCAGGUUGCUUUUUAAAUGGCUUUCAGUGAAUUUUAUCAGCUUGAUCCUAAGAUGGAAAACAUCAUGGUGUUUUUUAAUGGGCAGUGAUAUUAACCUAAUGGCAGGAGACUAGGGUGGCCCUUGGGAAACAGCAAAUUCUUGUCUUCUGAUCAGAUAUUAAAGAAAUGCAGACCAUCGACCAGUUCUUUCUGAAUAUGCUGGAAUAUUUAAAGUCAGUGAUGUUUUAGGUAGCAACUCUGGGAUGCUUUAAAGCGCAGUUGUAAGGUGCAGGUUGUAGUUCCUACUUAGCUCAUAAAAGUAAACAAACCAGAGAUUUAUACUUUAAAGGAUUAUUUCAUUAAAUUUUUAUUAGAGUGAAACCAUGAAAUGGAUAUUGUUCAUGUUAACUGUGAAUUGUAAGGUCACAUCAAAGCAAUAGGUUGAUUGUACUGGGCCAUAUGCUCCCAUUUCAGUGAUUUCAAGGGUGUUACUGGGUAGCAUUUUAUUGUACUAAACUGCAAGUCAUACUGUAAUUUAAGUUAUACAUAUUUUAUGUGGGUUUUUUACCUUUGCUUGCUUCUCUGGUCAGCUGUGAAGGUCACUGAUUAUGCAGUCUUUGUGUCAGUGUCCAGUCCUUGUGUUGAACAGAGGCAGUGGUGUCUGUCCUUGGGAAUACUAAAACCUUGAGUGGACUCAGCUCUGAGGAACUUGGUCUAGUUACCCCUCCUUGAGCAGGGAGGUUGGAGUAGGUGUUCUCCAGAACUGCCUUCCAAUCUCUGCUACUCUGGCUCUGUGUCUAGCAGAAGAAAUGUCUUGGCAAACAGAACUUUUGAAUUUCUCUAAUUAAGCCUGUUAAGUGUCCUGUGUGGAAACUGCAGAAUUGUUCUCUCAGGUAGACUCCUUGCUUGUAAAGAUAAGAGCAAUAUUCAGAGCAUUUGGAACGAACAAUUCUUAAAGAGAUUUACAUUUUGCUGCAUUUUUUUAACUGAUGUUUACCAAUUACAAUGCAAUAGACACUUAAAUUCCAAUUUGUCUUCAUCCCCUAGCAAAGCAGAAAGGGUGCAUGGGGAAUCUUUCUAUCAGGUGCUGAUCAGCCAUGGAUUUUUUUUUUUUUUUUAUUAGUUAAUUAGUUGGUUAGGGUUAGAAGGUAGAAAGAUUCAGCAACACAGUAUCUUAAAGAAAAGUGCCAUUAAGGAUCUGGAAAAAAUACUGUCAGUUCUAAACCAUCCUGUGUGUACACUCCAACCUUUUCAAGUUUCAGUGUGCUGACUCAGUGGGCAUUUUACAUAGCAGCAGUAGCAGUAAUAUUGCAACCAUGGUCUAAGGAAGAAAGUGAUGCAUGGCUUGUAGGGAAAACAAGAACAGCCAAGUAGGGUUUUUUUUGACAAAAGAGGGUAUUGCCUGGAAGAGUGUCUCCUUGAUGUUGAUUUUAUUGGUUUAUGUAAUAAAAGGCAAAUGGAAACAGUGAUAUUAUCAAAUGCAUCUGUGGCCCAAUAAAUAUUAUCUUUUUUCACUGUUUGAAGGAUCCAAAUGGGGUGUCAGGAAUAUUACUCCCAAGUCAUGAUAGGACUUGUGUAUUGUUCUUCUGUUUCUCUCACUUAAGUGGGGACAUGGAUGUGGCAGCAAAAAGAACAUAAAUCUGAUGUGUAGGUAUCUUUAUCUAGGAUGCUGCUUUCAGUAGAAUCCUCAGCACUAUAAAGCCUGUUAAUCAUGUCAUAACAUAAAUCCUAAAUUCCUUGGUGUCAUAAAACGCUAGUAAUACUUCAAACCAGUUUUUUUCACUAUUUUCCUUGGGGGGAUAUUUUUGUACUUCCUCUAUGUAUUUCUCCACAUUAUUUCAAAUUUCUGGUUUAAAUUGCUUUGCCUUCUUUUUUUCAUUUUAAUUUUCUGUGGUCAGUAGCAAGUCAUUGAUUUUGUACAGGCAUCAUCUGGAUUUCCAGCAAGUACUGCAAGGACCCGAAUUUUUUCUUGGGUGUGAUGCUGCAGGCAGCUGGCUGUGCUUAUAACUGAUUCUGUUCCUGACAGCUUUAAAUAAUUGCUGUUUGCUUGCCUGCAAGCCUUCACUGAAACUGAAUUUCUUGCACAAGCCCAGAUAUAUCAGGAAAAAUGUGGGCAAAGCAUAUGAAGAAAGCAAUUGAUCCAUCACUGACAGUCUAGCAGUGCGUAAGCAUCUUUCAGCGGCUGGUCAAUGGUGAACAGGGGCAGUUUCAUAAUGGGAGAUUUGAGGUCAGAAUGUCUGUAGGACCUGUAGACCUCCCAUUUGUUUUUCAGAAGUGUAUCUGCACUCAUAUAGACAACCAAUGAAUAGUUUAUAUUUCUUUUUCUGUUAGAAGUUUGCAUUCAGGUUAUUAUUUAUACAAUACUCAUCUACAGUGUAGCAGAACUGACAGGUGGUAGUUUUGACUGGAAUGGAGUAGAUCUGAUUUCAACUAACCAUAAACUUAAACAGGGGCUUUUCAGGAUUCUUCACCUGGAUGAAACUUUUUGUCAGUGACUUUUCUUCUUAAUUUAUUUUUAAAUUAAUUGACAAUAGCUAAAAAUAUUUAUAAGUGGCAUUCAUAUUUGGCAAGGACUGCUGACUGAAAAAUAAUCUUGGAAUAUAUCAGACUGGAAGGGACACAUAAGGCUUGCUGAGUCUAACACCCUGCUUCUCACAAGACUAAAUAAAAUAAACUAAAAUAAAUUAAAAAAAAAAAAAUAAACUGUAUGACUAGGGGCAGCAUCCAGACAUCCUUUCAACUCUGACAGGCUUGGUACUUUGGUCAUAGAAUCACAGUAUCAUAGAAUGUUGAGGGUUUGAAAAAGACCUUAAGGACUAUGUAGUUCCAACACCCCCUGCCAUGGGCAGAGACAGCUUCUACUAGACCAGAGGUUGCUCAAGGCCUUAUCCAAACUGGAUUGGAACUCUACAGCCUCCCUGGCCGACCUGUUCCAGUGCCUUGCCACCCUCGCAGUGAAAAACUUCCUCCUAUUAUCUAAACCCUAAUUUCCCCUCUUUCAAUUUGUAGAUUUCAGUUUCUUUUCUGAAUACCUAUGGGAAAACAUGAAGGCAUUUUAGAUAUAUCUCUGGACUAGGCAGUAGCAGGCUAUUAGUUUCCUAUUUGGGGGAAUGGAGAUGUGUGUAUCCACUUGUUUUCAGUGCAUGGUACUGGCCAAGCUACCAAGUAACUGGAACAGGUUUCCAUUCUGGCUGCUUUCUGAAAUUUGACAUUUCAAUAAUCUCCUCCUCUCUAGGUUAAUGAAUCCAAUUUAACUGAAUUCUGUCAACUACUCUACUCUUUCUCCAAGUAAAGCAAAAUGCAGCAAUGCCUAACUCAUGCUUCUGUACAACAUUUUUUGAAAUAGCUUCAAAAAGAAAGCAACCAGACAUGGAACUACCUCCCACACUUCACUGCCAGCAGCUCUUGCAUGUGAUGUCCUUGGAUGCCCAAAAGAUUAGCCAGUCUCAUCCACCUGGCCCAUGUCCCAGGGAUCAAAGACAUUUCUCCAUCUACAAACUAAAGCUCAUGCUCUCUGAAAGUGAAGAGAACAAAUUGAAAGUUAGAGUCUGAGAAGAUUAAUAGGGACAUCUGACUCUUGAUGGGGACAACAGUCCUCUCAUAUGGCAAUGCAUUAUGAGCAACAAAAAAAGGUUCUUCUACUCUUUGAGUUGAACUUCAGCUAUCAGCCUGCACCCUAGGACUAUUACUGACCACUACAGCGGCAUCACUUGCACCCUGGCACAUUUUGACAUCCAGUAGAACUCAAUACUUCUGCUAUAAAGAAUGUGGGCAUGAAGACCAGCCUGUAUAUUUGUGUCCCUGAAUGUCUUUCACAUGAGAAAAAAUCUGUGUGCUAUUGGAUAAGGUCCUGAAACAUAAUUUAAAAGCAUCACCAGCAGGAAAAACCCAUCUUGAAGUGGGAGAAAGUCUUCUUGAACGUUAUUCAUUUGAAUCAUGGAGCUGUGUAGAAGCAGAUAUUGCGACGAUGCAGCUGAUGUGUGACAGAGUACCAAGUGGACAUUCUUAGAGAAGUCAGUUCUGACUUCCCUAAGUCAUCACUACUCUCUUAGUAGGCCUUAUUUUUUAGGGAAUCACUCAGCAUGUGUAUCAGCUUUCCCAGUCCUAAAUUCUUUUAAGCUGCGUAUUUCUUUCGGAGUGAAAAUUUGUGACUGUGUAGCCCAUGAAUUUCUGUGAAGACAUCGAAGCCACAAAGACAUCGAAGCCACAUUCCUCACUUUUAAGGGACUGGUGUGGUGGCACACAGGAGUCUAAUGUUCCAUGCAAUUUAAGAUUUUCCACUUUAUUGAAGAAAUAAUUCUGUUUGUAGUUUUAUGAACUUGUAGUCUUGAAUACACAGUACUGCAGGUCACAAUUUUAUCUAUAGGCUGUUCCAUCUUAAGUGAAGAAACACUAUAUGUUGUUAAAACCCUGAUCUCCAAGAGUUUGUAAAAAAAAAAAAAAUGUUUGACUUUAAAUGUAAUUUUUAAAAGUUGAAUAUUUAUUAUUAAAAUUUCUUU